UACGUAGGGGGCAAGCGUUGUCCGGAUUUAUUGGGCGUAAAGAGCGUGUAGGCGGCCAGGCAGGUCCGUUGUGAAAACUCGAGGCUCAACCUCGAGACGUCGAUGGAAACCGUCUGGCUAGAGUCCGGAAGAGGAGAGUGGAAUUCCUGGUGUAGCGGUGAAAUGCGCAGAUAUCAGGAAGAACACCAGUGGCGAAGGCGGCUCACUGGACCGGUACUGACGCUGAGGCGCGAAAGCGUGGGGAGCAAACAGG
rnacentral:rRNA from 1 species